UUAAUUGAAGAGUUUGAUCAUGGCUCAGAUUGAACGCUGGCGGCAGGCCUAACACAUGCAAGUCGAGCGGUAACAGA
rnacentral:rRNA from 1 species